CACUCCUGCGGGAGGCAGCAGUGGGGAAUAUUGCACAAUGGGCGCAAGCCUGAUGCAGCCAUGCCGCGUGUAUGAAGAAGGCCUUCGGGUUGUAAAGUACUUUCAGCGGGGAGGAAGGCAAUACGGUUAAUAACCGUGUUGAUUGACGUUACCCGCAGAAGAAGCACCGGCUAACUCCGUGCCAGCAGCCGCGGUAAUACGGAGGGUGCAAGCGUUAAUCGGAAUUACUGGGCGUAAAGCGCACGCAGGCGGUCUGUCAAGUCGGAUGUGAAAUCCCCGGGCUCAACCUGGGAACUGCAUUCGAAACUGGCAGGCUUGAGUCUUGUAGAGGGGGGUAGAAUUCCAGGUGUAGCGGUGAAAUGCGUAGAGAUCUGGAGGAAUACCGGUGGCGAAGGCGGCCCCCUGGACAAAGACUGACGCUCAGGUGCGAAAGCGUGGGGAGCAAACAGGAUUAGAAACCCGAGUAGUCCCAUGA
rnacentral:rRNA from 1 species